GCCGAAGUGGCGGAAUUGGCAGACGCGCCAGGUUCAGGACCUGGUGGUGGCAACACCGUUGGGGUUCGACUCCCCACUUCGGCA
rnacentral:tRNA from 2 species